rnacentral:pre_miRNA from 1 species
CGUGGAAAUGCUGGGUCAUAUGGUGGGUGUAAGUUUUAUUUUAGAAGAAACUGCCAAACUGUUUUCCAAAGUGGCGGUACCAUAUUGCAGUCCCACCAGCAUA